UGGGGAAUCUUGGACAAUGGGCGCAAGCCUGAUCCAGCCAUGCCGCGUGAGUGACGAAGGCCUUAGGGUUGUAAAGCUCUUUUGGCGGGGACGAUAAUGACGGUACCCGCAGAAUAAGCCCCGGCUAACUUCGUGCCAGCAGCCGCGGUAAUACGAAGGGGGCUAGCGUUGUUCGGAAUUACUGGGCGUAAAGCGCACGUAGGCGGAUUUGUCAGUCAGGGGUGAAAUCCCGAGGCUCAACCUCGGAACUGCCUCCGAUACAGCAAGUCUCGAGUCCGAGAGAGGUGGGUGGAAUUCCUAGUGUAGAGGUGAAAUUCGUAGAUAUUAGGAAGAACACCGGUGGCGAAGGCGGCCCACUGGCUCGGUACUGACACUGAGGUGCGAAAGCGUGGGGAGCAAACAGGAUUAGAUACCCAAGUAGUCCCUGAGCGGGCUGGCAAGGCGCAU
rnacentral:rRNA from 1 species